AUAGAGAUGGGCCGCAGAGAACAAAAAGGAGAACCCUCCCCGGUCUGAUCUUCUUCUAAAAAGAAAAGGAGCCAUUUUCCAUGGCUUUUGGUUGAAGAAGAAUGAACAGCAACCUUUCCUCUCUCUGCAUUUCCCAAACUGCGACAGCUGCCGGAAACAACCAGUCCCCACUAGCUUCAUCUUCUUCACGGCUUGGACACAAGGAAACCCUAGAAACUCAACGAAUGAACCAUUGCUGAAGUCAAACUCCUUCUUCGCUCGUUGGAUCUGGUCGUCGAAGUUGUCUUGGUGACGACGAUCUCCGAGGAGCCAUGAAAACCGGUCAGAAGCUCCGGUAAGAGAUCAAAAAUCCAGCUCUUUUGCCAAACUCCUCACCUCCAAAACAGUCUCUGAAAAUAGAUAAAGCGUCUUAAUCAAGUCGAGUUUCUCGUUGGUUCAAAGUCGAGUUGAGUCUGUUUAGCGCUGGUUGGAGUACGGGUCCGACGAGAUCGUCCGUUCAUUAGUUCCGCUCGCGGUUCGAAGGUUUGUUUGCUGGUCUUUGGUCGUUUUCCAGACGAGGAUACACGUUGUUCAGUUUCUUUUGGGUAAUAAUUUUAAAGGCAACUAUUCAUUCAUUUGAGGGGGAGAAAGAUUAGGUAAGAAGCCUGCAGGUAACUUUCAGGAGCAAUCUUUUUGGCUGCACAAUUGAGGGGGGUCGACUACAAUAAACUAAGAGUCGACUAAUAUACAAGGAAGAACACUGAUGCUUAAUUGAGGGGGAGUCAACUACAACUGACGAAGACAUACAGGGAAGUAAACUGAUUUUAUUAUGUUAUUUUGUCAUCAUCAAAAAGAGGAAGAUUAUUAGAUUCAUGUUUUAAUGAUGAAAAUAACAUAUCUCUGUUUGCAGGAACACUCCGAGGCAAAGGAAAGGAAGGGAGCGAAAGGAAAAGAAGAUAGUCAAAUAUUAGCAAUAGAAGACAAGAAAGGAAGAAGUAACGAAGAAUUAAAGAAAAAAUCUUCUCAAGAUAUGACAGGCGAUCGAAGGAAGUUAUUAAAGGAAGGAACAAAGUCAAAGAAAGACAAGACUGCUCGAAAUUCAUUGUGUUUGUCUAUCAAUGCACCGGAGAUUCUCCUAUCAAAGGAAAGCAAUUAACUUCAAAAAUUAAGGGAUUUACCUUAGGAUGUUCGAAUAAUAGGAGGAUUUGCUCAAAGAAGGAAAGCUCUAUCAGAGACCACAAGUCAAGGCAAAUUAAUAGAAGCUUUACAUUUAUUCUUAAAAAGAAUCAAUCUGCGAUUCCUUCCAAGGAUCAAUUCCCUUGGGUCCACAAUCUCUCAAGAUUUCCAUCAUCAAAAAUCAAGGCAGAAUCCUUGAAGUAUGUAUAUCCAGAGACGACCAAGACAAGAGACAUACUUUGAUCGAACCAACUUUGUGCUCUUUGUUCUACUUUAAACAAGCAUUGUAAUCUAAGUGUAGUUUACCGUGUAACUAGUAGAGAGAAGAAAGAGAGAGAAAUAUUGGUGAGGCUUUGUAUCAAAGUUACAACGAGUGUACUUAGAACCAAAAGGCAGUUGGUGUUCGCUGAAACAUCAACAUACUGUACGACGUAUUUCAAGGAGCUUUGAAGAGAGAACAUCCUUGCAACCCAAGGGCACUGAAAUCAAAUUCAUAUUGAAUCCAAACCAGUAUAAAAUUCUUGGUGUCA